GACGAACGCUGGCGGCGUGCCUAAUACAUGCAAGUAGAACGCUGAAGGAGGAGCUUACUUCUCUGGAUGAGUUGCGAACGGGUGAGUAACGCGUAGGUAACCUGCCUGGUAGCGGGGGAUAACUAUUGGAAACGAUAGCUAAUACCGCAUAAGAGUAGAUGUUGCAUGACAUUUACUUAAAAGGUGCAAUUGCACCACUACCAGAUGGACCUGCGUUGUAUUAGCUAGUUGGUGGGGUAACGGCUUACCAAGGCGACGAUACAUAGCCGACCUGAGAGGGUGAUCGGCCACACUGGGACUGAGACGCGGCCCAGACUCCUACGGGAGGCAGCAGUAGGGAAUCUUCGGCAAUGGACGGAAGUCUGACCGAGCAACGCCGCGUGAGUGAAGAAGGUUUUCGGAUCGUAAAGCUCCGUUGUAAGAGAAGAACGAGUGUGAGAGUGGAAAGUUCACACCGUGACGGUAUCUUACCAGAAAGGGACGGCUAACUACGUGCCAGCCGCCGCCGUAA
rnacentral:rRNA from 1 species